rnacentral:misc_RNA from 1 species
GAAAUGCGAUAAGUAGUGUGAAUUGCAGAAUUCAGUGAAUCAUCGAAUCUUUGAACGCACAUUGCGCCCCUUGGUAUUCCAUGGGGCAUGCCGGUUCGAGCGUCAUUUGUACCCUCAAGCUCUGCUUGGUGUUGGGUGUUUGUCCCCGUCUCCGCGCGUGGACUCGCCCCAAAGUGAUUGGCAGCCGGCGUACUGGUCCCGGAGCGCAGCACAUGUCGCGCAAACGAGUGCCUUGGUACGGCGGCGUCCAUAAGCCCCUCUCUCACGCUCUUGACCUCGGAUCAGGUAGGGAUACCCGCUGAACUUAAGC